rnacentral:rRNA from 1 species
UACCAGCACCCCGAGUGGUCGGGACGUUUAUUGGGCCUAAAGCAUCCGUAGCCGGUUCUACAAGUCUUCCGUUAAAUCCACCUGCUUAACAGAUGGGCUGCGGAAGAUACUAUAGAGCUAGGAGGCGGGAGAGGCAAGCGGUACUCGAUGGGUAGGGGUAAAAUCCGUUGAUCCAUUGAAGACCGCCAGUGGCGAAGGCGGCUUGCCAGAACGCGCUCGACGGUGAGGGAUGAAAGCUGGGGGAGCAAACCGG